CCCAAGUAUAAGGAAGUAUUUAUUCUUCGCGCUUCUUUACUAUUUUUAACUUAUUUAAAUAAUAUAAAUAUCUACUGAACAAGCUCGUUCAGGUCUUUAAAUAAUUUUGUGUGGACGCAAUCAACAUCGGACAAUGGGGUUAUUUGAAGGAAUUUCGAAAUUCGCUCUUAUAUCAGCAAUUUUGACUGCUGUUGGAUUUCUUGUACAUUUGAUCGGUUAUGGAGCACCAUACUGGGUAAAAAGUGGUACUUUUAAUAUUGGACUUUGGAAAUAUUGUUUUAAAAGCGAGUGUAUUGACAUCGUUAGCGAUAAAUUUACAAUUGAAGGAUGGUUGGAGGCAGUCCAAGCCUUCGAGACACUUGCCUUUCUAGCCAUACUUGCAACGAUAGUGGUUAUGGGACUAAAAUUUACAGUCAUGAAAGAGCAGAAGAUAUUGCCAAUUGUCAUCUUAAUAUUUCAGUCUGCUUCAGUUGGUCUAAUCCUUCUAGGUGUGAUCAUAUAUGGUGCCAAAAGUACUAUAACUAGCUAUGGAUUCGCGUUUGUUUUUGUGAUAAUAGCUUCGAUCAUUAUUCUCGUCGCUGGAGUCUUCAGUUUCUUGGAUUGGAGAGGCGCUUCUUCACCUGCAUAAACAGAAGUACAAUCGAAACAAGCAUCAUUAAUAUUACUACUGGACUUCCGUGUAAAUUGUUAUUGAGCUUCCGAGUACUAGUAUAUUAUUAUAAAAAUAAUAGGCUUUAGAUAUUAAUCCUGCUAUUACAAACUAGGUUGGGUGUAAAAGAUAGAAAUAUUCACCCACUAACCAUGUAUGUUUGCUAGGAAUAUUAUACAAUUACUGUCUUUUGAUGAGGUUAAUAUGCGGUUUUAUUGACUUUUGAAAAAAACUGAUAUUCACUGAGGCCGACGGCCGAAGUGAAUAUCAGUUUUUCAAAAGUCAAUUAAACCACAUGUUUACCGAAACAAAAGACAAUAAUUGUUUUAUUCCAUAUUCAAAAUCAAAUUCAUAUAGAGAAACCUACUUAUAUUAUACCAAUAUGGAAUAAUCAAAAUUAGUGUCGCUUUACAAGCACGGUGAACAAUAGGACUGUAUUUAACAUUACUUAUUCUGUAGUGUGAGGCUACAGUCCUGCAAGAGAGUUGUCUUUAAACAAAUAUAUUUUUUUUCCUUUUGUUAUUUUAUCAUUGAAGAGAACCACAAUCUUUGCAUAUUUUGAAAAACGUAUUUUUUUAUUGGCAGUGAAUUUAAAUUUAAGAGCCACGAAAGCUCGUAGAAGAAAGAAUUUUGAUUUUCCUUCAUGCCGAUUGAAUCAAUGUCCACAGAACUGAUGAAGCGAAACUUUCUCUUUGAUACAAUCAUUAAAAUACUAACAACUUUAACAUCAGUCAGUCAUAUUUUUAUGUAUAUAAAAAAUUAUGAAACAUGUCUGACGUAUUGUUUUCCAUUUUUCUCGAAGAAAUUGAAGAGAGCUUUAAAUGUAAUUCAGAAAAUUGAUACCCAUGACAUUGAAAAUAUUUUCAACCUUCACACACAUAUAUAUAUAUAUAUAUAUAUAUAUGUCUGCAUAAGUGACAACUGCAAAUUAUACCUUGUCCGUAGGAUUUCUUAUGAUUAAGAAGUAUUAUAAAGUGCCUAGAAAAUCAACCUAACAAUAUUAGAGUAGAUCUGAAUCUUUAUUUCCUCCCUAACUGGGGCUGUAAUCUGUACAUUUUCUUCUCACUUCUACGGCAACACCGCCUAGCAUUGCACAGACGCCUUAUAAUACUUACAAGAAAGUAUGAAAAACGUUGAAUAGAUGUGUAUGGAUAAAGCAGUUGCUGAGACGGCUGGUUGUUGAAAACACUUUCAAAAAGUGAGCACUUCAUACAUGAUUUUUUCUUGAUUUAAGUUGAAAUAAAUUACCAGAAUAAAA